ensembl:lncRNA
CGCCUUGCAACGGGUUUGGCACAGAUUUCCCCUCUCGAGCAGGACAGAUACAAAGUAUAGACAGUAUCCCAGGGCUCCUCAGAAUCUUUGAUUCUUGUGCGAUUAAACGAAGAUGAAGGUCUAUAAUGGUUAUACCACAAGAAACCCACGAAGGAAUACACCUGUUUUCCUUCCCGUUACUGUGACACCAGAAGCCAUAUCAUGCGGAGUAUACAUCUAAUUGAUAAACCCGGAGGGUAUGACGGGGUCACCAUAACAUUACUACAGAUCACAUCACGGGGAGACAAACUUCAAGACAACUGACACCCACGAAGCAUCGGUACCCAUCGCUCAGCGGCCCUGGCAGAGCAAAGGUGGAACAACUACUUCAAGGUCUCAGAGCGAGUGACAUCACCGAUCGAAACGCUAUUAGCGCGCACCACCGCUAACUAGCUAGCCGUUUCACAUCGGUUACACCUGACUGUAGUUGUUCGGUAGCCAUGCACAUUUCUAUGUUUCUUUAAUCAUACCAUAAUACAGCACCAAUAAUACGAUGACAAGUGCCAAGACUAUUGCUGUAUUACAUACAGGUUGUUUUAUUGCUUUGGUGAAAAUUUCACAGGUAUGUGGUACAUUUUCACAACUUAGUACAAAACUCAAAACAGAUCAUCAAAAGGACAGUUGUUUGAAAACUCUUAAGCACAUUUUCAAUUGACUAAUUACAACAUACAAAAUCACACAAGUCACUUUUUCACCAAACGGGGAAAACAACAGUCCACACAUUUUUGGUAUGUGACCUCAGCGGGAAUUGAACCCACAACUCUAGUGUUGCUAGUGCCAUGCUCUAAUGAACUGGGCCACGUACAGGACCACUACAAUACUACACUGUAAAAUACAAUACACAAUGACUGUACAGGUGGAAGAUGUUCUGAUUGCCAUCCCCAUGGGUGUACCAACCUCCCUCAGGGCACGGAUGAGGCAUGCAAUGAAUUCAAUCCAGACCUAUGUCAGGCUGGAAUACGACACAUUCCAAAAGGUUUUUCCCAGGUGCAUGACCAGUUGGUAUAUUUACUGUGAUUUCGAUGAGAACCUAUGGCCAAAUGCUCAAGACAGGCUUGAUGUAAACUAAUGCCAGAUAAAAAAAUGUGUUGCUUUCUUCGCUUUCAUUUGAUUGCAUUGUGAAAGAUGUCUUCAGUGAUCACACCUUUGAUAGAAAUGUUGGACAUGAUGGACAUUUGAUGUUCAGUCAAUUUUAAUGGGUUGCGCAAGUGUAUUGCCUAAUGUGAAAACAGUUUAAUGUACUGUAGUUUACACUACUGCCGCAUACUACAUUCAAAGGGUAAUUUUGAAACAUGCAUCUUAAAUGUUUUGCUAUUGGAUAAACGGGUUGUUAAAUUAACUAAAUUGAGGAGAUAUCAUUAUGUUGUGUUAAGGUGAUUAAACCAAUGUGCUCAUUAUAUUUCACAGUAAACGUAUAUUUUGGAUCAAUGGUUGUGUGGUGAGAGAUGUCUACAAACAAAAUCAAUGCACAAUGAAAGGUUUUGAAUGUUAGACUGGCUGCAUAAUUACAAAUGUUACCAGUUUGGAGUUUUGUACUAAGAGUUUUGAAAAUACUACCAAAGUGAUUUAAACAACAACAAAAAAAACAGUAUUUAUCAUCCUACACAAGUCUAGGAAAGUGUUUGGGAAAUUUAGGAAGUAAAAUAUCUCUCUCUCUCUCUCUCUGUAACGGUUUUCUUUAGGUGAAGUAGAGGCGGACCAAAAUGCAGCGUGGUUGUUAUUCUUUGUACUUUAAUAAAGAAACUGUACACAAAUAAACUAACAAAACAACAAACGUGCGAAAACCUAAAACUGUCCUAUCUGGUGCAAAACACAGAGACAGGAACAAUCACCCACAAACACACAGUGAAACCCAGGCUACCUAAAUAUGGUUCUCAGAGACAAUGACUAACACCUGCCUCUGAUUGAGAACCAUAUCAGGCCAGACAUAGAAAUAGACAAACAAGACAUCCAACAUAGAAUGCCCACUCAGAUCACACCCUGACCAACCAAAACAUAGAAACAUACAAAGCAAACUAUGGUCAGGGUGUGACACUCUCUCUCUCUAUAGAUA